UCAGGACGAACGCUGGCGGCGUGCCUAACACAUGCAAGUCGAGCGAUGAAACCCUUCGGGGUGGAUUAGCGGCGGACGGGUGAGUAACACGUGGGUAACCUGCCUCAAAGAGGGGGAUAGCCUCCCGAAAGGGAGAUUAAUACCGCAUAACAUUAGCUUCUCGCAUGAGAGACUAAUUAAAGGAGUAAUCCGCUUUGAGAUGGACCCGCGGCGCAUUAGCUAGUUGGUGAGGUAAAGGCUCACCAAGGCGACGAUGCGUAGCCGACCUGAGAGGGUGAUCGGCCACAUUGGAACUGAGAUACGGUCCAGACUCCUACGGGAGGCAGCAGUGGGGAAUAUUGCACAAUGGGCGAAAGCCUGAUGCAAGCAACGCCGCGUGAGUGAUGAAGGCCUUCGGGUUGUAAAGCUCUGUCUUUGGGGACGAUAAUGACGGUACCCAAGGAGGAAGCCACGGCUAACUACGUGCCAGCAGCUGC
rnacentral:rRNA from 1 species